UACGUAGGAGGCAAGCGUUGUCCGGAAUUACUGGGCGUAAAGCGCGUGUAGGUGGUGGGACAAGUCUGCUGUGAAAGCGCCUGGCUUAACCGGGCGAGGUCGGCGGAAACUGUCCGACUCGAGGACGGCAGAGGGGGGUGGAAUUCCGCGUGUAGCAGUGAAAUGCGUAGAGAUGCGGAGGAACACCGAUGGCGAAGGCAGCCCCCUGGGCCGACAUUGACGCUCAGGCACGAAAGCGUGGGGAGCAAACAGG
rnacentral:rRNA from 1 species